GCCGGGGUGGCCCAGCUUGGUACGGCGCGGGAUUGCUAAUCCCGUUCUCCCUGUGAGAUCUAGGGUUCAAAUCCCUACCCCGGCGCUA
rnacentral:tRNA from 1 species